AUUGAACGCUGGCGGCAGGCCUAACACAUGCAAGUCGAGCGGCAGAAGGGAGCUUGCUCCUGGAUUCGGCGGCGGACGGGUGGGUAAUGCCUAGGAAUCUGCCUGGUUGUGGGGGAUAACGUCCGGAAACGGGCGCUAAUACCGCAUACGUCCUGAGGGAGAAAGUGGGGGAUCUUCGGACCUCACGCUCUCAGAUGAGCCUAGGUCGGAUUAGCUAGUUGGUGGGGUAAAGGCCUACCAAGGCGACGAUCCGUAGCUGGUCUGAGAGGAUGAUCAGUCACACUGGAACUGAGACACGGUCCAGACUCCUACGGGAGGCAGCAGUGGGGAAUAUUGGACAAUGGGCGAAAGCCUGAUCCAGCCAUGCCGCGUGUGUGAAGAAGGUCUUCGGAUUGUAAAGCACUUUUGGUUGGGAGGAAGGGCAGUAAGUUAAUACCUUGCUGUUUUGACGUUACCAAAAGAAUAAGCACCGGCUAACUUCGUG
rnacentral:rRNA from 1 species